UUUUUUUUUUUUUUGUCAACUGUUAGCCACAUACAUAUAAGAAUUGUCACGUAUAAUUUUUCAAGGCAACUAAAAAUUAUUCUUCGAAUCUCGCCCAUCAUUAUUCAUUUGCAUAACAAAAAAAGAAAGAAAAAAUGAAUAUUCAUUUCAGGUGGAUAAAAAAUCUCAGUCAAUCAUAGUCAAAACACUCAAAAGUUUAUUACUCUCAGCUUAUCUGUUGCUUCCCUCCACAUCGUUGAAGCUUUUGUAUGAAUUAUGCCAGCUUACGUACGUAGUCGCCCAACGUACAUAUAAACAAACGCGUAGUUUAAAUUUAUUAUAUCAUUUAGCUGUACAAGUUUGUUUUAUAUAAUAAAUUUAAAAUUUAAUUAAUAAGGUUCUGUUUGACCAAAAACAAAAGUCAAUAAGGUUCUUAAACCAAUCGACUAGCAUUUUUAUUUAGACAAGUAAUAAAGCCGAUUUUACCAAAAAAAAAAAAAGUAAUAAAGCCGAAGCUGAUAAAAAAAGAAAGUAAAUAUGUCGAAAUAUUCGUUUUGAUUUUAGUGAAUGGACCGACAUGUUUUUAAAAUAUGGAACGGACAUGUCAACCGCAUAUGUAAGAACUGUCAUGCAUAUUCUUUGCAUAAUAAUAAAACAAAAACCAGAACAUUCAUUUCCAGGUUGAUAAAUCUAAGUCAGUCCAUAUGCCAAAAAACAAUAAAAUCUCAGUCAAUCAUAGUCAAAACACUCAUAGGGCCUACAAAUGUUUUUAUAGAAAAAAACGACACAUCAUCAAUGGCUAUGAAAACUAUCCAAAUUUUCUAUAAGAUUUACUGACGAAUUUGCUUGUUGGACACAAUCCGACAAGGUUACUGUUCAUGAAGAUAUACAAAGCCAUAAUCUAACACACGCCCAUUUUAUUAUGACAAUAUCUACACAGAAACAGGGGAAAUUGCUUAAUACAGAACCUAAAUAAACAUAAACAUUACAUAUAUAAUUUGGACGAAUCUACAUACUACUAGCUUUGGAGUUUCGGAUCAAACAUUAAUUCCCGUAGCUAGUGUCUACACUCCUUUGGAAAUCCUUGAGGAAACCUUUUGGUGUCUGUACAAUAGUUAUAGACCAUGUACUUCCUCUGCACCACUCUCAUCUUAUCUGCUGCUGUUAGAUCAAGCCUUUGAGAGAACCAUCUAGGUGAACCGGCAGGACAAGAUGAUCUUCCGCCCGAGGAAACACAUGCAUCCGCUCUAAAGUUCCUGUAAGAAGCGGUGAAUGGUGCCUUGGACCAGUCAGUCUUAACAAGACCUCCCCUUGUAGCCCACUGGUCCGCGUUCCAUAGGCUCGAGUAUAGCCUCAUCGGCUGCAAUUUUGGAUACAGAAUACCCAUAUGUUGUAGAUUCUUGAAUUCUCUUACCGGAAUAUCAUCAACCAUGAAACUGCAUCAAAACAUAUAAAUGAUAAAUUAGUUAUUAAUAAACUCAAAAGUUGACGUUCAAUGUGUUAUCAAAGAUGUGUUUUGGACCUGUAAAAAUCAUGUCUGCCCAAAGCUGGAUCACUUAUAGUUAGAAGUUAGAACAAAAAAAAAAAAUUAACUUAUGUUUCUUCGUCGUGUAUAUCUUUUUAUAUACUUACACGAUGUGAUGAGGGUUCCAUAAAACAGAGUAAGUGUGGAAAUCAGCGGUUGGAUCGAACCAAAGAUGGAAUUGUUGUUCUCUAUCACCUUUGCCUUGAGUAUACACAUUCGUAUGCAUGGUAUACGGAUCACCAGUUAGAUUACCAAGAAACUCGAAAUCGAUUUCGUCCCACGUAUCACCUUUCGACUUCAACUGCAUGGAAAAUCAAAACAAUCACAAACUGUUCUAAUAUUCAAAAGUAUAAAAGACCUAACAAAAUUUUGACAUGGUAAGUUGGUAACAUCGUAUAGGACCGUCUCAAAUGAUUUAGAUUAUAAAAGACCUAAUAAAAAUUUGACAUGGUAAGUUGGUAACAUCGUAUAGGACCGUCUCAAAUGAUUUAGAUUAAUCUCUGUUGAUAAUUUUUCUUAAAGAAAUAAGAGCCUCAAUUUAUAUAAAUAUUCAUAAAUUUAUCCUAUAAGAAAUAAAAUUUUAAAUUGGAGCUUUCCACACGUGCUAAAAACGGCCAUGUUAUAUAUGUUAUGAUGUUAAGUAACACUAACGUAGUAGGCGGUGACAGUUCCGGCGGAGUUCCCGGGGACGAGUUUGAGCUGCAUAUCGAUUUUCCCAAAUAAAUACUCUUUCUUGGUUUGAAAACCAGAGCCGGAGGCUCUGUCGAGGGAAAGAGUGAGAAGCUCUCCGUUGUUAAGGACCUUUCCACGACCAUCACCCCAAGUGAUAUCGAAUUCUGUGUCGAAAGUUCCGCAGAAAACCGGAGAGAAGAGGGUCCUGGUCGAGACGGUGAGUGUGAAGAGUAGGGAUAAGAUCAAAGUGGACCGGUCCAUGUUUAUGUGUCAAUAAGAUGGAGAAUUGAAAUCGUUCAUUGGGACCUUAUGUGUUGGGGGGGUUUUAUAUAAGGGAGGCAAGUCUUAGUCUUUUUGGAGUAUAGUUCGCCGUUUGUGACUCUUGUGUAGUUUUAGCUGUGAACAGCUGGUUCUUGUUUUGAAGUAAAGCAAAGCAUGUGCUUAAUUUUGCCUCAUGCUACGUGUGCUUGUUCUUUGUUUUGGUUUAAGUCUGCCUGAUCCGGUUCGGUUAAUGCCCAGUUUAGUUUAGGAUUUGUUAAAUUGGUUCUGCAUACGAGUGGAUAAUAUAUGUAUGUCACCUUGGCUAGGAUAUCUCGGUUUUGGGGCUAAUUCUGUUUGAAACAUUUAUAAUCCAACUAAAAUCAAAUUUGGUACGGUAGUUCCACCAAAUUAUAGCUGGUUAACAAAAUAACUCAAGAACUAGGAUUUAACCCGCGGUAUCCCGCGGGCGUAGAUUUUGUGCGGUUUUCUUAUUAGGUUUAUCGAUUAUAUACUUAAAACCAAAAUCGGUUUAAUUUUGUUUUGUACGGGAUUAAAGUAAUGACACCAAUCAAAUUACAUGCAAAUUCCAGUUUGAUUUUCGAUUAAAAAAGUUCUUGCUCAAUUAUAAAAACUAGAAAAAGGUUAUUGCUCCAUUGGGUUUGGUUUUGAGUUUUGACUGUCCAACCCUAGUUCUAAAUUAAACAGAAGCGGCCAUUUUUGGACGGACUCGGAGAAUAUAACGGAACGAACUACGAGAGACUUAAAAAAUACAAAAACGCAUAUUGUAACAAAGAGAAUAUUAUAACUUUAAGGGGAACUAUAUAGUACACUACAACCAAAUCAAUAAAAUUCACGUGAUCUACAAUAAAAUGAAUAGAAUUUUAUAACCACAGAGAAAAAGUAAAAUAUGUUCAUCUCUCAACGAUUUACUCUCUAUGCAGCUAAGCACUCUUUAGGAAGACCUUGAGGGAACCUCUUUGCAUCCGUACAAUAAUUAUAGAUCAUGUAGUUCCUCUGCACCCAUCUCAUCCUUUGUUGAGCCGUUGAGUCAAGCUCUUGUGACAACCACGAGCCAGUGGUCCCCUGUUUGGAGGCAUUAGGACAAGAAGACUUGCCGUUUGACCAAACACAAGCUUCUUGUUUAAAGCCACGGUAGGAAGCAGUGAAAGGAGCUUUAGACCAAUCGGUUUUGACCAAACCACCUCUCGUUGCCCAAUCAUCAGCGUUCCAAAGACUAGAGUACAUUCUCAUUGGUUUGUUCUUGGGAAACAGAGUGCCUAGAGACUCCAUGUUCUUGAAUUCUCUAAUCGGAGUUCCAUCGACGGUGAAGAUGAUUCUUUGUGGGUUCCAUAGAAUGGUGUAAGUGUGGAAAUCAGCUGUUGGGUCAAACCAGAGUUUGAAUUGUUGUUCUUUGUCUCCUUUGCCUUGUGUGUAGACAUUUGUGUGAAGUGUGUAAGGAUCUCCACUUGAAUUACCUAAAAACUCGAAGUCAAUCUCGUCCCAUGUUGUUCCAGGUGAUUUCAACUGUUCAUAUACAAAAAAACCAUUUCAGAUACAAGAACUUAAGAAUGUACAAAAACCAAAAACAGAGAUUGUUUAGGUGAACUUACGUAAAGUGUUGUGACUGUUCCUGCGGAGUUUCCAGGGACGAGUUUCAUUUGCAUGGCGAUUUUACCGAACAAGUAUUCGUUUUUGGACUGGAAUCCAGAACCAGAGGAUUUGUCUAGAGAUAAAGUGAGAAGCUCUCCAUUGUUCUUGAUCUGUCCACGACCAUCUCCCCAAGUAAUCUCAACAUCUCUUUGGAAAUUAGCUGAAACAGAGGAGAUGAUGAGAGAAAUAAACAGAGGAAGUAAGUAAGUGAUUGACAUUUUUUAGAGAUUGUUUUUGAGUUUGUGGAUUUUCUUGUAUUGAGUUAUUGGUUUGUUGUGGUUUUUGAGGGUUUAUGGAAGAAUGUAUAUAUAGUAGUGAAGAUUUUGAGAGGCGGUUCGUGUAGAGGAAGGUUCGUUACUUGGUUAGGUGAAAGAAGAAGCCGCGUAUUUGAGGCAACAGCUGGUGAUUGGGCCAUCUUGUAGUAAAAGCCUGUGUUUUAUUUAUUGGCUUUGGAAAUCACGCGGUUUUUGUUUAGUGGUGUUUCUUUUUUUGAAUAGUAAAAUUAAUUAAUAUUGUUACUUUUGGCUCAAAUUAAUUUGGAUUUUGGGAGUUUUUGCUCAGAAAAAGUUGGAUUUGAGAGUUGGAUACUUUACCACCGGCUUGGACCGACCUUGACAGAGGUGGAGUUUUACUCUAAUAGAACCAAAUGAUUCCGUUAUUAACCAAAAAAGAGGGGAAAAGUGUUGAUUUUAAAAAGUUAUAUUAAAAUAAGAUAAAUUUAAGUUUUUUUAAGUAUAAAAGUAUAUGUUAUUUCUACUACUUUCUGACAAUUUUUUAAGUGGUUAUCCAAUUUUGUAAUUCUUUUGUUAUUACUCUUGAGUGUUAUUAUUCACUAGGUAGUAAUUUAUAUGAAAUUGAACAUUAGUUGUUGCACAAAAAUAAAAAGAAUUCGUUAAUUUGAGUACCUUUUUUUGUGGGCACAUAUUUGAGUUUUUUUUUUUGUUUGAUUGACACUUGACAAAUUUAGACUGGUUAAGGUCCUAAGGAAAUAGGAUAAGGAUCAACAUUGUAUUUUAUUAUGAAAAAGCUUUGAUGAAAACAAAAUUUAAAACGGGGAUAAGAAGGAAGAGAUGCCACGUUAAAGAGUGGAUAUGGUAGUAGUUGGUAAAAUGAUGAAAUUGACUGACUCAAAUGUUUAAUUGUCGUAAUGGAGACAGCUAAUACAUUCAACUUGGUUACGGUCGUGGUCAGGAAGCUUCUUAUUCCAAGUGGCUAGAUCCUGUGAGCAGUCCGAUCUCUCACGCAAAGUCUAGAAUUCAGCAUUUGAUAGAAUAAAGAAAAAAAUUAAAUUCUCUUAAAUGUUUUUUGUAGAUAUAUUCUGUAUGUAUGAUCUUAAUAUAUUUGUUAAUUAUGGGGGUUAUAAUUCUGUAUCGUUUAAAUAAUUGACAUUUACAGAUAUAAUUUGGAAAUAAUUUCAUGGUCGCGGUGAAAAUUCCAACUUUAUAUGAGGGACGCAUUUCUUACUUUAGAUAAUUUCUUAAGUUUCGGGUAAGAAAAUGAUCAACAGAAGAUAUUAAGGACUAAAAGUGAAACAAUACAUAUCGUUAUGGGCCUAUUUAAAGCCCACGAAACUUCCGUCCGCUUAGGUUUCGAAAACAAAAACUAGGCUUGUCUAGUUGACUUGCUCUCAAAGAUUAGUCUUGAUUCUCUUUUAGUCAUAGAGUUAUAGGUAUGUCUGUAUUGCGAAUGUUAAGAUCUCGCAGUUUGUAUGUUAGAUUAUGGUGUUUCAUAGCGAAACCUAUGUUAGAUUUAUCAUUAUAUUUUUGUUUCUAACAUCAUUUGCAAUACAUAUUUAACACAAUUCAACUAAUGUUAAAAUAAUUUGCAUAAUACAAAUGGUCAAAAAGGAUAAAGAAUAAUUAAUUUUACAUUAAAACAUCAUUUAAAUUGAAACAAAUUUUUUUCUCUUAAAACAUCUAAUAUAACAAAUAUGAGAUAUUAAAACUGUCGUUGAAGUGAAUCAAUGAUAAAUCAGUAGAUAAACUUCCGUCAAUUGUAACAUAUAUUUUUCACAAACAUUUCUAAUCUUGAGGCGGUAAUUAACAUUUGUUGAUUUUUUUGGGCGUAAAUUAACAAAUAUAGUUCAUAUAGAUAACAAAAUGUUUUAUUGGCAAUUGAUAAAUGUUUACGAUCAGUGGACAGGAGUCGAUUAACCUAGUCCAUAUCCUCAAAUAGAUCACGUAUGACUAGUACAAUUACACAAUUCUUGAAAACUACUACUAAAAUGUUUCAUAUUUUGAGCUAGAAAUGAAAAAGAGUAAUAAAUAUACAGUUUUUCGUAGUUUGUCUUUUGUUUACAAUUCCGAAACUUGAUUCAAAAUAUCCACAUCUCCUCUUUUUUUUUUUUUUGGCUCAACAUCAACUCAUUAUAUUUUCCAAUUCAAAUUACAAAUCGAUAGUCCUCAUACAAUGACCUCGACAGAAUUGGACCAAAUGCAAUGAAUGAGCCUAGUAGACCCUGGAACACUAAGUUGGAUCCAACGUUACCUGGCAUACAAUUCAUUGUAUUUUUUCAACCAAUGAGAUAGAAUCCACCCCACUACUCGGAGUGAAAUCAUCUCUUAAACCACUAAAAAAAGAUCCUAAUGACAUGAAAACAACUACUAACCCGGUUACCCGGAGAAGAUCAAAACCUAAACUGACUAACCAAGGAAUUCCAAACUAUUAGUCCCUCAUGAUUGGAGUGUAGCACUUGUCCCAAUAGCACUUACACACGAAGGCGCAUCAUCAGAAAAGUUUGGUUUCCCCGUCUUUCGUUGUUCCGGCCUUAAACCUAAAAACGGACAACAUGUCCGACUGACCCGGUCAAGAGACCCAAGAUAAGCUCAGCAGGACCAGCAACUUCUCUGAGAUUACCUAGUAAUACCAGAUACUAAUCGCCUAAUAAUAGGAGUGUAGAGCACUGAUUAGUAUUCUUCACCUCAUGGUGCAUUUCCAGAUUAGCCACAUCGCCUCCGUCUUGUUAUCUCGCUCCUAGACCGGACUGAACCAGAAGGUUGUAGAAGCUCUCGAACAAGCGGCUUUGAGGUCUACCUCAAUCUCGGCACCGACAAGCGCAGAUCUCCUCAACCACCGGUAAGACUCCAAGACCUAACUCGACUGCUUUGCUCCGGCUAGCUAGGGUCUCCAUAUAAAGAACAGGGGAAAACAGGAGAGCCAGACGGCGCUGCGACGAGCCCCAACCAGACUCCCGGAGAAGACAGCGAGCCGAGAUCUCGCUUCAUAGCAUUCACCGGAGAGAAGCUGCCGAGUUAUCUACUUACCUACAAUAAAAGAGAAAAAUAAAAGACAGAGGAAGAGGAACCCUCUCACACCGCCGGCAGAGCGCCUCGGGCGGCGGAGAGGAGACGGCGACAAGAUUUGGGGGGGCGGCGGCUAGAUCUAGGGUUUGACGAGAGAGCUCUUUUUAGGGAAUUUAAUUGUCGCAUUCGUUUUAUACACAUCUCCUCUUUGUUUUCGGAUGUAUAUAUAUAACAUCAUCCACGAUUUUCAAUAUAUUUUAAUUGGAGUAAUACAAUUCUAGUAUUCAUAUUUUUGGUUAUUUUAGUUUAUUUAUCUUUCACAUUAAUUUAGCAUGUUUUGGA
rnacentral:lncRNA from 1 species